AUUGAACGCUGGCGGCAGGCCUAACACAUGCAAGUCGAGCGAGCGGCGGACGGGUGUGUAAUGUGUGGGAAACAGCCUGAAGGAGGGGGAUAACUACUGGAAAAGGUAGCUAAUACCGCAUACCAUCAGAUGUGCCCAGAUGGGAUUAGCGAGUAGGUGGGGUAACGGCUCACCUAGGCGACGAUCCCUAGCUGGUCUGAGAGGAUGACCAGCCACACUGGAACUGAGACACGGUCCAGACUCCUACGGGAGUCAGCAGUGGGGAAUAUUGCACAAUGGGCGCAAGCCUGAUGCAGCCAUGCCGCGUGUGUGAAGAAGGCCUUCGGGUUGUAAAGCACUUUCAGCGGGGAGGCGUUACCCGCAGAAGAAGCACCGGCUAACUCCGUGCCAGCAGCCGCGGUAAUAC
rnacentral:rRNA from 1 species